rnacentral:rRNA from 1 species
UACGGAGGGUGCAAGCGUUAUCCGGAAUCACUGGGUUUAAAGGGUGCGUAGGCGGCCCAAUAAGUCAGUCGUGAAAUCGCUGGGCUCAACCCAUGCAAUUGCGAUUGAUACUGUUGGGCUUGAAUGGGGUUGAGGCUGGCGGAAUGCGACAUGUAGCGGUGAAAUGCUUAGAUAUGUCGCAGAACACCGAUUGCGAAGGCAGCCAGCUGGGCCCUUAUUGACGCUGGAGGCACGAAAGCGUGGGGAGCAAACAGG